rnacentral:rRNA from 1 species
GACGAACGCUGGCGGCGUGCUUAACACAUGCAAGUCGAACGGUAAGGCCCUUCGGGGUACACGAGUGGCGAACGGGUGAGUAACACGUGGGUGAUCUGCCCUGCACUUCGGGAUAAGCCUGGGAAACUGGGUCUAAUACCGGAUAGGACCACUGCCUGCAUGGGUGGGGGUGGACAGCUUUUGCGGUGUGGGAUGGGCGCGCGGCCUAUCAGCUUGUUGGUGGGGUGAUGGCCUACCAAGGCGACGACGGGUAGCCGGCCUGAGAGGGUGACCGGCCACACUGGGACUGAGAUACGGCCCAGACUCCUACGGGAGGCAGCAGUGGGGAAUAUUGCACAAUGGGCGCAAGCCUGAUGCAGCGACGCCGCGUGAGGGACGACGGCCUUCGGGUUGUAAACCUCUUUCAGCACCGACGAAGCGCAAGUGACGGUAGGUGCAGAAGAAGGACCGGCCAACUACGUGCCAGCAGCAGCCGCCG